UAUGAAGGCCAGGCUGAAGACUUUGCCGGAUUAGCUGAGAGGUGGUGGCAUGGCCGUCGUCAGUUCGUACUGUGAAGCAUCCUGUUAAGUCAGGCAACGAGCGAGACCCACGCCCACAGUUGCCAGCGUACUCUCUGGAGUGACGGGUACACUGUGGGGACCGCCGCUGCUAAAGCGGAGGAAGGAAUGGGCAACGGUAGGUCAGUAUGCCCCGAAUAUCCCGGGCUACACGCGAGCUACAAUGGUUGGUACAAUGGGUAUCUACCCCGAAAGGGGACGGGAAUCUCCUAAAACCAAUCUUAGUUCGGAUUGAGGGCUGCAACUCGCCCUCAUGAAGCUGGAAUCCGUAGUAAUCGCGUUUCAACAGAACGCGGUGAAUACGUCCCUGCUCCUU
rnacentral:rRNA from 1 species